UUAACCUUUAAUCACACGUUAAGUCCAAAUGUCGGGUUUGCUGUAAAUAUACUCGUCCCUGUCAGGGCAAGUUCUUCUUGGUCCAACAUAUUGAACCUGAAGACACACGUUUGAAGGUGUGUGUUCUAAGUCUACUCUACAAAAAUCAAAGAUUCGAGUCGACAGAGAGGCUGGUGUGCUGUAAAUAGACUGGCCAGUCCCUCGUGCUCCAACCUGUUAAACCUGAAGACACACCCGCUCUGUUCACGCAAGCCGAGGGUGACACAAGGACUGACUUUUGUUCUUAACAGCGUGUGAGUUUCUGCAAGUGUGAAGGUGUGCGUUCACUUCUCUCCUCUGGAUAUAUAAGUCUACUCUACAAAAAGUAAAGAUUCAAGUCGACUCUGAAAGCAAAAGUUUGGAUCAAUCCAUCUGAAAGUCCACCGGGCCAAUUGUCAAAGAAGCCAAGAAGCGUCGGUCAUCUAUCAUGGGAAGAGGGGAGAGCGACUGGGAUGAGAAGCACGGGGACACGGUGCAGGCUCAGCCCCGAAAACAAGAGGAGAAGAAGAGUUCAAGCUCGGGGAGCAAAUGUCCCAAGUGCUGCCUGCAGACACGGAACUGUCUGAUGAGCGCUGAGUGCGGCAGGUGCCUUCAGAUCUCCAGCGUCGUGGCCUGGUGUGGAAUGUGCAUCCGCCUGUUUGUGUAACGUAAACGUCAACAUCCGGAACAGUUUUUGGAAGAUGGGUUGAAUCUCAGCGCCGGCCAGCUGCUUUACCGAGAUUCAGAGAUGAAAAUAUCCCCAGUCUAUUUCAUAUACUCGCUUUACAUAUCUCAAUCCAGGAGUUUUUUAUUUAACAUUGAACAAUUUAGUAUUUGUGUAUAAAACAAACUAAAUCAUUUGAAUGAAUGAAUUGAUUGUGAUUGUAUGUAUUUACUGUGUGCUUGAUCAAUAUUGUCUGUCCAAAAUGUAAUAAUUGGAUCCUAUUAUAGACAAUCGAGAGAAAUUGUCAUGGUUGUCAGCAUAACGAUUAGUUAUAACCAAUGAUCCCCCCCCCAUAGUGAGUCCACAUUACUGAGAUAUAUUACAAGAAUGAACUGGAGAAUGACCCCAGAACCCAAUCGGUCCAUCCAAAUCUGUCUCUGUCUGGCACGGAGGAUUAUGAACAAGUGGACCUGACAACAAAAAAAAUGUAUGAAUGAAUGAAAAACACGUAAUAAAGUU